rnacentral:rRNA from 1 species
UAUAUCGGAACGUGCCCAGUCGUGGGGGAUAACGUAGCGAAAGCUACGCUAAUACCGCAUACGAUCUAUGGAUGAAAGCGGGGGAUCGCAAGACCUCGCGCGAUUGGAGCGGCCGAUAUCAGAUUAGGUAGUUGGUGAGGUAAAGGCUCACCCAAAGCCGACGAUCUGUAGCUGGUCUGAGAGGACGACCAGCCACACUGGGACUGAGACACGGCCCAGACUCCUACGGGAGGCAGCAGUGGGGAAUUUUCCGCAAUGGGCGAAAGCCUGACGGAGCAAUACCGCGUGAGGGAGGAAGGCUCUUGGGUUGUAAACCUCUUUUCUCAGGGAAGAACAGAAUGACGGUACCUGAGGAAUAAGCAUCGGCUAACUCCGUG